UAAAUUCAAAAAUAAAAGAACACCAACAUAGAUUUCUUAAACAUUAAAAUUUUACUAUAAAUUUAAAUUACAUUUAAUCAGCACAUUAGUUGAAGUUUUCUAGGAGCCGAACAUUUGGCUGGAUCAUGGACUACUCACCGACGGAGAAUUUGUCAUUGAGCUGAAGAAAAUGUGUCGGCACUCGGCUUCGUUUCAACCCGGAGGAAGAUUAGCAGCAUCAAUAAGAAGCUCAUCUUAAUGUCAACUGUCCAAAUGAAGAAGAAUUUGUCACAAAGCUGAUGGAAAAUGUGUCAGCACUCGGCUGUAUUUCAACACGGAGGACGUUUAGCAGCAGCAAAAAGAAAUUCAACUGAUGAUAAUCAACUGUCCAAAUGAAGAAGAAUUUGUCACAAAGCUGAUGGGAAAUGUGUCGGCACUCGGCUUCGUUUCAACCCGGAGGAAGAUUGGCAGCAUCAAAAAGAAGCUCAUCUUAAUUUAGUUGUCCCCCCUUUACGCAUUAGCGCUCAUCUCUCAUCCACUCAUCCAACACAUUGACUACGCCGGCCGGCAACACACAUAUAUUAUACACAUUACCCGUUUUAUAUUAUAUAGUAUUAUUAAUAUCCACAUAGUUUAAGUUAUUGUAUAUUUUUUUUUUAUUAUUUGAAUGCAUUCAUAUGAUCAGUGG